UACGGAGGGGGCUAGCGUUGUUCGGAAUUACUGGGCGUAAAGCGCGCGUAGGCGGGCUGUUAAGUAGGGGGUGAAAUCCCGGGGCUCAACCCCGGAACUGCCUUCGAUACUGGCGGCCUUGAGGUCGAGAGAGGUGAGUGGGACUCCGAGUGUAGAGGUGAAAUUCGUAGAUAUUCGGAAGAACACCAGUGGCGAAGGCGGCUCACUGGCUCGAUACUGACGCUGAGGUGCGAAAGUGUGGGGAGCAAACAGG
rnacentral:rRNA from 1 species